AACGAACGCUGGCGGUAGGCUUAACACAUGCAAGUCGAACGCCCCGCAAGGGGAGUGGCAGACGGGUGAGUAACGCGUGGGAAUCUACCCAGUUCUACGGAACAACUGAGGGAAACUUCAGCUAAUACCGUAUACGCCCUACGGGGGAAAGAUUUAUCGGAAUUGGAUGAGCCCGCGUUGGAUUAGCUAGUUGGUGAGGUAAUGGCUCACCAAGGCGACGAUCCAUAGCUGGUCUGAGAGGAUGAUCAGCCACACUGGGACUGAGACACGGCCCAGACUCCUACGGGAGGCAGCAGUGGGGAAUAUUGGGCAAUGGGCGCAAGCCUGAUCCAGCCAUGCCGCGUGAGUGAUGAAGGCCUUAGGGUUGUAAAGCUCUUUCAGUGGGGACGAUAAUGACGGUACCCACAGAAGAAGCCCCGGCUAACUUCGUGCCAGCCGCCGCGGUAAUAC
rnacentral:rRNA from 1 species